rnacentral:rRNA from 1 species
GCAUAUCAAUAAGCGGAGGAAAAGAAACUAACAAGGAUUCCCCUAGUAACGGCGAGUGAAGCGGGAAAAGCUCAAAUUUGAAAUCUGGCAGCCUCAGGUUGCCCGAGUUGUAAUCUAUAGAAACGUUUUCCGCGCUGGCCCAUGUACAAGUCUCCUGGAAUGGAGCGUCAUAGAGGGUGAGAAUCCCGUCCUUGACAUGGACUACCAGUGCUUUGUGAUACGUUUUCAAAGAGUCGAGUUGUUUGGGAAUGCAGCUCAAAAUGGGUGGUAAAUUCCAUCUAAAGCUAAAUAUUGGCGAGAGACCGAUAGCGAACAAGUACCGUGAGGGAAAGAUGAAAAGCACUUUGGAAAGAGAGUUAAACAGUAUGUGAAAUUGUUGAAAGGGAAACGAUUGAAGUCAGUCAUGUCUAUUGGACUCAGCCGGUUCUGCCGGUGUACUUCCUUUAGAUGGGGUCAACAUCAGUUUUGAUCGCUGGAAAAGGGCAGGAGGAAUGUAGCACUCUCGGGUGAACUUAUAGCCUUCUGUCGUAUACAGUGGUUGGGACUGAGGAACGCAGCAUGCCUUUAUGGCCGGGGUUCGCCCACGUACAUGCUUAGGAUGUUGACAUAAUGGCUUUAAACGACCCGUCUUGAAACACGGACC